UACGUAGGGUGCAAGCGUUAAUCGGAAUUACUGGGCGUAAAGCGUGCGCAGGCGGUUUCGUAAGUCUGUCGUGAAAUCCCCGGGCUUAACCUGGGAAUGGCGAUGGAGACUGCGAGGCUAGAGUUUGGCAGAGGGGGGUAGAAUUCCACGUGUAGCAGUGAAAUGCGUAGAUAUCAAGAGGAACACCAGUGGCGAAGGCGAGUCCCUGGACGAUACCUGACACUGAGGCACGAAAGCUAGGGGAGCAAACAGG
rnacentral:rRNA from 1 species